CCUACGGGAGGCAGCAGUGGGGAAUAUUGCGCAAUGGGCGAAAGCCUGACGCAGCGACGCCGCGUGAGGGAAGACGGUCCUAUGGAUUGUAAACCUCUUUAGGCGGGGAGCAAUGCCGGGCACGCGUGCCCGGAGGGAGAGUACCCGCAGAUUAAGCAUCGGCUAACUCCGUGCCAGCAGCCGCGAUAAUACGGGGGAUGCAAGCGUUAUCCGGAUUUAUUGGGUUUAAGGGGUGCGUAGGCGGAUUUUUAAGUCAGCGGUAAAAUGUCCGGGCUCAACCCGGGCCGGCCGUUGAUACUGGGGAUCUUGAGUGGGCGAGAAGUAUGCGGAAUGCGUGGUGUAGCGGUGAAAUGCAUAGAUAUCACGCAGAACUCCGAUUGCGAAGGCAGCAUACCGGCGCCCGACUGACGCUGAGGCACGAAAGCGUGGGGAUCGAACAGGAUUAGAUACCCGUGUAGUC
rnacentral:rRNA from 1 species